GCCUGGCUGGCUCAGUUGGUGGAGCAUGGGACUCUUGAUCUUGGGGUGGUGAGUUCGAACCCCACUCUGGGUG
rnacentral:tRNA from 1 species